GCUGGUUCACUAGCACAGGCUGGGGGUUGGGAAUGUGAUGAGUCAAGUCAGUGCAGCAGCAGGUCCUGCUCAGAGGAGAGGGAGUCAAAGAUGCCUGUCACAUCCACCUGAGGAAUGGUCAUCAGGACAAUGCAGCAACCAAGCUCCUGCCUCCAGGUUCCUGCCCUGCUUGAGUUCCUGCCCUGAUUUCCUUUGAUGAUGAACUGAUGUGGAAGUGGCCUAUCCCAGCCUGAUCUCCGAUAUGCAACAAGUCUGUUCAUCAUCAUAGGACUGCUGUACAUGCCUUUCUUUAUGAACUGAAACAAGUCAAGUAUUUGUGGGUUCAGUAUCAUCCAGUUCAAAAUGAACUUUUCAAGCCACAUGGAAACUUGGUAGCCCAAAGUUAAGCAUUUAAUCUAUACUUUUUACUUUAUUUUGUUCAUGUGUGUGCCAUGCAUAUAUGUGGGGGUGGCCAGAGAGGCCAUAAGGAAGUGCAGGAAGUGUUGGGGCCUGCAGGGCAGGAGUUAUGGAUGUUCAUGAACCUCUCAAUAUGGGAUGAGGAUGCUGGAAUCUGAACUCUAGUUGUUUGAUGAAUCAGUUAGUACUCUUAAUCUCUCUCUCCAGUCCUAUGCAUACCACCUGGUUUUUUGAGACAGAUUUCUCUCACUGAACCCAGCACUUGCUGAUUUGACUAGCCUGGAUAGUAAGUUCCAAGAUUGUGCUGUCUUUCCUUUCCAUUUCUGGAAUUACAGGUGCAUGUUGUCUCCAGCUGUCUCUCAUGAAUUCUGAGGAAUCAAACUCAAGUCUGCAUACUUGUCAGGAAAGAAAUUUAUUAAAUGAGCUCUCUCCCCAGACCCUGUACUGUCAAUAUUGAUGGAAACAGUCAUUAAUGGUUUUUUAAAACUGAUAUAAAACAACUAAAUUCAGAAAACCCAGUACUCAUUCAGAGAAUUUAUCAAUAUUCCUGUAGAAACACUUUUUAAAAUUUUGCAUUAUUAUUAUUAUUAUUACUACUACUACUACUACAUAUAUGUGUAGCAUUUGUGUUUGAAUAGAUGUGAGUAUGCUUCAGCAAACAUGCAGAG